CUAACUAUUUUAAGGCCUUAGAACUGUAGUUUCAAGUUGCUUCCAAAUCAUGGCAAUCCUAUGAAUUAAUGACCUCCAAAGGGUUGUAUGAAUAACAGCCCUGCUUAGGUUUCACAAAUCUGAGGCUUCCUUUAUGCAGUUAAUUCAUUUUGUACUUGGUUUUCCUCUUUUGCUACUGCCCUCACAUUUUCCCAGCAUUAUUGUCUUUUCUAGAGAGCAUGGUCUUCUCAUAAUUGCCCAGAGUACCCGAACUUCAGUUAAGCCAAUUUUGCUCUAGAGAGAGUUCAGGCUUGAUUUUAUCUGGGAAGCACUUGUUUGUGUGUCUGGAGGUCCGUGUACCCAUAAUGCUCUCCUCCAGCACAUACAGACUAAUUUUUUAAGUGCACCUAUUUACCUUUUAAAGUAACUUGACAAGCACUGUGGAUUAUUCGAAGGAAACAUGCUGUUCCAGUGGCUCAAUCAGAAGUCAUAAACCUGUGACUUUCGACAGCAUUAUUAAGUGAGCUUGUUUUUGGAAUAUGAGUUAUUCCCCAAAACACAGAGGAAACUUUGGUGCCAGCAAAUGUGUGGUGGGAGCAUAUAUUUUGGAAAGUAUUUCAAUUAUUUCUUUUGCUAUAGGCUGUUUUUGUUAAUCUCUGUAACAAUAAACUUCCUGACUCAAGAGCUUCUCCCAUGAAAUCAGGCAAUUGCUGUCAGAGAAACUGGAAACACUCCGUGCUUCUUAGCCCUGUGAUGUGACUUUUAUCCCCACUAAUGAGAGAGGUCACUAUCGACCUUGUCUCUGUGGAAUCGCAGAAACAACAAUCCUUCAGUAGCUGGGAGCUUCUAUUUCCAUUUAGCUCAAUACCUUCUGAACAUAUAAGAAAAAGAAAAUCAGAGAAAUUCAUAAAAAUUCUUGAGAAACUUCAGCUGUCUUCUAAUGUAGAAAUAGAAUCAUUUCUUUCACCUCCACAGAAAUGUAUAUGGUCUCAGCAUAAUUUUCAUAGCAUGAGCUUGUAUAGUACAGUAGCGAUGAAGAAGAAGAAGAAGAAGAAGAAGAAGAAGAAGAAGAAGAAGAAGAAGAAGAAGAAGAAGAAGAAGAAGAAGAAGCCGCCAUCCAGUCCGUUCUGACAUAUGGCAGCACUUUAGGGUUUUUUAAAUACUCAAGAGGCGGUUUACCAUUCCCUUCUUCUGGGGGCACCCUGAGACUUUGCUGCUUGCCCAAGGCCAAAAAGGUGGACUCUAUUCACAGCAGGUACAGUGGAGAAUCAAACUCCUAACCACGGCCUAAACCACUGAGACAUCCAGCCAGCUGCUGCAUAGUGGGAUAUCUAUCCUCUAUCAAAGGAUUCCUUUCCAUAGAUCACUUGGAAAAGAAUGCAUCUGAAACUGCCAGGCUCAAUAACAAGCAGUAUUUGAAAGCAUUUACCUCUGGGCUGUAAGUAGGGUGGAACAGUUGGAGCAUUACCCUAGGGAACAAAUAUUUCAAGGACAUAAACAGAGGUGAGUCCGCUGGUGAAUGUUAAGGUGUAUGGCCACACCUCCCAGUCCUAUUCACUUUCCUUCUUCACUUUUUAAAGUAUAAUCCGUGAAGUCUGAAAAGACGGCUAUGGUCAUCUCUUUGCAGUGCUAACAUGCUUGUAGCUCAAAUUAUUGGGCUAUCUCUUACAUUUGUUCCUGGCCUACGUUGUACUGCUAUAGGUCUUUCUAGUUACUGAAUGCCACAUCAUAUCAUAUGCAUUUUCAAAGUAAAUCUUUAAAAAGUUAUAUUUUGGGUUAAUAAUUGCAAUAAUUAUUGCAUGCAAUCAAGUCAGUUCUGACUUAUAGUGACCUUUUUCGGGGGAUUCUAGGUACAUAGAUUCUAGGUACUUUUCAUAAAGUAGUACCUAGAAAAAUGGUUUGUCAGUCCCUUCUUCUGAUGGUGCUAUGAGACCAUGCAGCUUGCUUAGCUUGGCUUUUCCCCCAGGAGACACACUGGGUAUCAAACUCACAACCCUUAGCUCUGUAAAGCCCAUAUUUUGGAUUAUAAUUCACAGAAUCCCCUGGCUAUGAUGGUCACUGGGGGAUUUUUUGUAGUGCCAUGCAGAGAGAGAAAAAGGCAGAGGAUUGCAGCUUUGCAUAUAUCAUCAUA
rnacentral:lncRNA from 1 species